ensembl:lncRNA
GGCCAUUUGAGUAGAUUUGUAAUGGUAACUCAUUGUGAUUAUUAUUUUAAUCUGUAUUUCCCUGAUAAAUAAUGAUACUGAAUAUCUUUUCACAUGGUUCCUGAGCAUUAGAAUGGCCUCGUUAGUGAAAUGCCUGAUGAAGUCUUUAGCCCAUUAAAAAAUAAGCCUUUGCUCCCGCAGCAGACCUACCUGCCUGCUGUUUCUCUGCUGACUCUUCCCCGCGUGGAAUCCGGAGCCGCCGCCGCUUGCCGAUCCUCCGUGGCCGCGGGGCCCCGCGGCGGCCCCCUCCUCACGCCCCCUGGAACUCGUCCCUGCGGCGGGUCCCCUAGCCCGGAUUUCACGUCUUCCGCUUUCUCCCUGGAAUUCACGUUCGGCGGAGCAGCGCCUCCGAAGCCUCGGGGCGAAGGGCUUGGAAACCUGCCGCCCGCGCGCACUUGGCUGGCGGCGCGGGGCGUGGGGUCCCUUGCGCCGCUGGGAUUCAAGGCGGCGGUGGCCGGGCUUCCCCGUGCGGCGGAGAGGGAGCCCUUCGCAUCCCAGCCCUGGACAUGCCGCCUUUCCCGGUUUCCCUCUGGAAGCUUGCAGGAUCUUCACUUCCUCCCCCAGGUCCCGCUGCUUCUUGAUGCGCUUCAGUGUGGGGCUUCCUUCUCCGCAGCCCCGGCCGCGAGUGGCCCCGUGCUCGUCUGGAGAGGGAGGGUCUCCGGUUCUGCAGAAUUGCCCUGUGUCGCGUUGUGCCCUCCCUUUCAUUUUCUCCUCUUCUCUUCCUGGAAGCCCCGGUGUUUUGAUGGCGUACCUUUUACCAAAUACCCUUUUAUUUUCUUCUGGACUGUCCCCUGCUUUCCAUGUCCACCCCACACUUUGCAGGAGACGGCCGCAACCGUAUUUAGAAAGUCUUAGUAAAUCUCUGCCACCAUAAUAUUAAUUUUAAGACUUCCCCUUCUCUUCUUGUGUCUAUCUCCCCUUACCUCACUGAGGAUUUAAAUCAAAUUUUCUAAAAAUCCAGUUUCCCGCUUGUGUUUGUUUCGCUUUAGCUCGUCUUCCACCUGCUGCUAGUUUUCGUCUUUAUCCUGGAAAUAUUUUCAUAAACCUCCAACGAUUUUUGUGUGUCGUUCCUGCUUGAAGCAAGGACCUGCAGCCCGGCCCGUGGGAGGUGUGCGCGGUGCAGCAAGCUCGCAGGGGGGAGAGUCGGGGACGUGCUGGGCCUGCAGGUAGACUUCGGUGUCCGCGUGGGUCCUCUGCACCCGCGCACCCUGGCCUCCCGCACGACGCGCGCCGAGCCGGAGGACCUCUCCGGGGCUCUGGGAUCCUCGGGACGGCGCGUGAAGACA